UGAAACUGAAUAUAAUUAAAACAAAAAUCUCACACACACAAGGUGUGUGUGUGUGCGUGAGAACGAUCAGGAGCAAGGGGAAACCCUUCUCCUUCAACUACUUACAAGAACUCAAGAAUUGGACCUGAUUUUGAGAAGAAAUCGAAUGCAUGAGGCUAGAUAUAACUUAAUCUAAGUGUAUUGAUCAUAAGGAAUCAAGUCGAGACGGGCUCAAGCACGAGGUGUUAACGGGCCAAGAGGAAGCAAGGGAUCGGAUAUGAACACGGAUGCAUGAGGUUGUACGAAUCGCAGGCGGUUGUCACGAGGAAUAGAGAUCGAAGAUCGGGUCACAAAGUAGAUUGUACGGGGAUAAUUGAGUAUGUACUUUAGUAAACAUGACUUAUACCUUAUUUAUGUAAAAGAUUCAUAUUAAAACAAACUUUCAAGUAAGUCAAGACGUUUGUAAUGAAAGAAA